GAUGAAGAACGCAGCGAAAUGCGAUAAGUAGUGUGAAUUGCAGAAUUCAGUGAAUCAUCGAAUCUUUGAACGCACAUUGCGCCCUUUGGUAUUCCUUAGGGCAUGCCUGUUCGAGCGUCAUUUAAACCUUCAAGCUAAGCUUGGUGUUGGGUGACUGUCCGCCUCACUGCGGACUCGCCUCAAAAUUAUUGGCGGCCGGUACAUUGGCUUCGAGCGCAGCAGAAACGCGAACUCGGGCCCGUCGUAUUGGCUCCCAGAAGCUAUCUUCACAAUUUUGACCUCGGAUCAGGUAGGGAUACCCGCUGAACUUAAGCAUAUCAAUAAGCGGAGGA
rnacentral:misc_RNA from 1 species